UGAACCAACCCAUCUGCUACAAAUUGAAGGAACUACAAAAACCACUCCUGAAUACCCCCAACAACUUGAAGAAAGCACACCCACGCUUCCCCUAGCUCCAUCUAAAAUUAAUCCAGCCCCAGAAGACACUGCUGCGCUGAUGAUGAUGGCACGGACAGCAUCGUAUGUUCCUAAAACAGAUCUGAUGCCAUCAUUCAGCCUUGGCUUCACUGAUUCCAGCCAAGAAGAAACAAC